rfam:Tessaracoccus flavescens strain SST-39T, complete genome.
GGGCGAUUGGCGCAGUGGUAGCGCGCUUCGUUCACACCGAAGAGGUCGGCGGUUCGAAACCGCCAUCGCCCA